rnacentral:rRNA from 1 species
AGGAACGAUUCCGAAAGAAUCUUUCUGCGCUGUAAGGAUCUUUUCCUUUGUGCUGUGUUUGACCGUAUGUAAGUUAGGGACUUUACAUUGCUUCGCAAGGGCCGGCCCCAAAAACAAUAUAUCAUCCUUAUGAAAUUUUUUCUGAACAAUUAAACAAAUGAUUUUAAUAUUCUGUUUAAAACACCUUUCAACAACGGAUCUCUUGGUUCUCGCAUCGAUGAAGAACCCAACGGAAUGCUAUACAUAUUGUGAAUUGCACAAUUCAUUGAAUCAUCAAAUCUUUGAACGCACUUUGCACUCCUUGGUAUUCCGAGGAGUAUGCCUGUUUCACAAUCACGAUCUCUCUCACACCUAACCUUUGGGUUUAUGGCCUGGAAUUGGAAUGCUCCCACGGUCAUGGUUGGCCCUUCUAAAAUGUGGUUCUGGGCUGUCACCUAAUACAACAGUUUGUCCUAAUAGUUUUGGCCUUCAUUGUCAAAUCUUUGGCUAACAUUUGCUCCAGGAGACAUUCUUGAUAAUACAGAAAACUCAUUCAAAUUUUGAUCUGAAAUCAGGUAGGGCUACCCGCUGAACUUAAGCAUAUAAAUACGCGGAAGAA